UGCCUUCUUCUCCGGCAUAUUUGAAGUCUGUGUUGUAUAGUCUGUUUAACUUACUGGGCCAGCCUCUGGGACAAGCGAGAGUUGUGUCGUUGCACGUUUGUGUCUAGUGCCGAGUGUGCUCUUGGCACUCACAGCAACAUUAAAUAACAUGGCUAAACUCCACGGCAGGCGGCGGCGGGUGGCACGGGCCCAGAAUGGAAAAGCCAGAGGAGGGAUGUCUUAUCUGCGUGGCGUGGAGAGGACACGAGGCUUCCAAAGCUGAGAACGUAAAUGCUGAGAACAGAAGGGAACAUCAAACACUGAUUUCCUGUUGGGAAUGUAUCCUGGCCUCGCAGGCCGGGAGCCUAGAACGGAGAGCUGGGAGGCUCAGCCCUCUAGGGAAGGAGGCACAGGAACCAUCCCGGUGCUGACUUCGCUGGAAGUUGCAAGUCUCAG